rnacentral:lncRNA from 1 species
ACCUCGAAGGGUUAGGGUUUCAAAAGAACCCUAUAAAUGAGAAAGACUUUGAAAGACCACUGAUCUUAGUCGGAGAGGUGAGAAAUAGGCUCUGACAACCUUGGUACGCCGGAGCAAGGCCGGAGAUGAUCUUGAACCUCGAAUCAAUAGAGGUCUGGGUUUGACCCUUCCAGGCUCAGACAACCUUGGUACGCCAGCAAGGCCGGAGAUGAUCUUGAACCUCGAAUCGAUAGAGGUCUGGGUUUGACCCUUCAUAGUCAGGCCUCAAAUCUUUAGGUAUCAUGCGCGUGAGAGCAAGAGAAGCUGGGUAUAAGACUCUCAUGGCCUAGGAAGCCAUGGAUCUCGGCGGGUUUCGAGCUGGAGAUGGUGAGAGGCGGCUAGGUUUCGGGAAACUUUAAGAGAGUUUGAGAGCUCAGGAGUGGCGGUUGGUGAGAAAUGAGGUAGGGUCGGGGGUGUUGGUGGAUUAAACAAGGGAAAGGAAGAAUUA